rnacentral:rRNA from 1 species
GACGAACGCUGGCGGCGUGCUUAACACAUGCAAGUCGAACGCUGAAGCUCAGCUUUUGUUGGGUGGAUGAGUGGCGAACGGGUGAGUAACACGUGAGUAACCUGCCCCCUUCUUUGGGAUAACGCCCGGAAACGGGUGCUAAUACUGGAUAUUCACUGGUCUUCGCAUGGGGGUUGGUGGAAAGGGUUUUUCUGGUGGGGGAUGGGCUCGCGGCCUAUCAGCUUGUUGGUGGGGUGAUGGCCUACCAAGGCUUUGACGGGUAGCCGGCCUGAGAGGGUGACCGGUCACAUUGGGACUGAGAUACGGCCCAGACUCCUACGGGAGGCAGCAGUGGGGAAGAUUGCACAAUGGGCGCAAGCCUGAUGCAGCGACGCCGCGUGAGGGAUGGAGGCCUUCGGGUUGUGAACCUCUUUCGCUCAUGGUCAAGCCGCAACAAUAGUUGUGGUGAGGGUAGUGGGUAAAGAAGCGCCGGCUAACUACGUG